rnacentral:lncRNA from 1 species
UUUGAGUAUGCAUCUUUAGAUACUUAUUUCAAAAUAAAAUAGAAAAUGAAAAAAAGUUGUUCGUCACUUUACUUUUUUUUACCGACAAGUUUUCUAGGUUCAUUUCCAUUUCUUUAUUUUAUUUGAUUUUAUCAUUUUUUUUAUCUUUUUAUUAAUCAUUGAUCAUGAAAUAGGAAAUCCCUCCUUAGACUUUCGUUCCUUUCUUUCUUCCUAUUCCACUCAUCUUACCCUACACCUCGAAAUGAUUUCCUAUCAUCCCCAC